rnacentral:lncRNA from 1 species
CUUUACAGAAGCAACCACUCUUAUCUUUUGUUCAUUUGUCUUCUAAAGAUAUUCUGUGAAUAUAUGUGGAAAUACUUAUAAAAUGUAUAUAUUUUUGAUUUUUGCUUUUUUCCACAUAAGUGGUAAUGCAUUAUGCAUCUGCUGUGCACUUUGCUAUCUUAUUUAAUAUACUAUUUCUUAUGUACUAGAUAGAACAAAUGUGAAGUUCCUAGAGGCUGGGCACUGUCUUGUUUGUUCUAGGUC